rnacentral:rRNA from 1 species
CAGAUCUUGGUUGGCGUAGCAAAGAUCUAACGGAAAAUUACUUUAACAUGCAACGUUGGAUACUGGAGCGGGGAAGGAUUUCGUGCCAACGGCACUCGUACACGAGUUGUUCGGAUACUGAGCACAACGUUACACCGUUUUGUUAGGAAAGUGAAGGUGCGUCAAAUGGUAUGGGCCUCCUCUCUUCGGAAAGGAGCCUUACCCUUUGGCCAUUACUGAAAAGGGGCAACAGAGAACC